rnacentral:sRNA from 1 species
GUAGUCUGGUGGCAGUGUAUUUGCUAACUCAUAUCUUCGGUACAUUUGAUUUUAAUCUAGUAUUUUGUUUAUAUUAAAGUGAAAGGAGAUGACCUUCAGGCCAUUAAGAAGGAGCUGACCCAGAUAAAACAAAAAGUGGAUUCUCUCCUGGAAAACCUGGAAAAAAUUGAAAAGGAACAGAGCAAACAAGCAGUAGAGAUGAAGAAUGAUAAGUCAGAAGAGGAGCAGAGCAGCAGCUCCGUGAAGAAAGAUGAGACUAAUGUGAAGAUGGAGUCUGAGGGGGGUGCAGAUGACUCUGCUGAGGAGGGGGACCUACUGGAUGAUGAUGAUAAUGAAGAUCGGGGGGAUGACCAGCUGGAGUUGAUCAAGGAUGAUGAAAAAGAGGCUGAGGAAGGAGAGGAUGACAGAGACAGCGCCAAUGGCGAGGAUGACUCUUAAGCACAUAGUGGGGUUUAGAAAUCUUAUCCCAUUAUUUCUUUACCUAGGCGCUUGUCUAAGAUCAAAUUUUUCACCAGAUCCUCUCCCCUAGUAUCUUCAGCACAUGCUCACUGUUCUCCCCAUCCUUGUCCUUCCCAUGUUCAUUAAUUCAUAUUGCCCCGCGCCUAGUCCCAUUUUCACUUCCUUUGACGCUCCUAGUAGUUUUGUUAAGUCUUACCCUGUAAUUUUUGCUUUUAAUUUUGAUACCUCUUUAUGACUUAACAAUAAAAAGGAUGUAUGGUUUUUA